UACAGAGGUCUCAAGCGUUGUUCGGAUUUAUUGGGCGUAAAGGGCGCGUAGGCGGCGGGGUAAGUCGGGUGUGAAAUCUCAGGGCUCACCCUGAAAAUGCACUUGAUACUGCUCUGCUUGAGGACUGGAGAGGAGACUGGAAUUCACGGUGUAGCAGUGAAAUGCGUAGAGAUCGUGAGGAAGACCAGUGGCGAAGGCGGCUCUCUGGGACGGUA
rnacentral:rRNA from 1 species